GGCUGUCUGGCCCAAUGGUUAAGGCGCUUGCCUACGAUAUCUUCAUGCGAUGCGAUCGUGUUGGUAUAGCAAGAGACUCCAGGUUCGAGUCCUGGGAUGGUCG
rnacentral:tRNA from 1 species